AGAUUGAACGCUGGCGGCAUGCUUUACACAUGCAAGUCGAACGGUAACAGGCCGCAAGGUGCUGACGAGUGGCGAACGGGUGAGUAAUGUAUCGGGACGUGCCCAGUCGUGGGGGAUAACGCAGCGAAAGCUGCGCUAAUACCGCAUACGAUCUAUGGAUGAAAGCGGGGGACCGUAAGGCCUCGCGCGAUUGGAGCGGCCGAUAUCAGAUUAGGUAGUUGGUGGGGUAAAGGCUCACCAAGCCAACGAUCUGUAGCUGGUCUGAGAGGACGACCAGCCACACUGGGACUGAGACACGGCCCAGACUCCUACGGGAGGCAGCAGUGGGAAUUUUGCGCGAAUGGGCGAAAGCCUGACGCAGCCAUGCCGCGUGUAUGAUGAAGGUCUUAGGAUUAGUAAAUAC
rnacentral:rRNA from 1 species